GCAGUAGCCGCGGGAAUACGUAGGGUGCGAGCGUUAAUCGGAAUUACUGGGCGUAAAGCGUGCGCAGGCGGUUAUAUAAGACAGAUGUGAAAUCCCCGGGCUCAACCUGGGACCUGCAUUUGUGACUGUAUAGCUAGAGUACGGUAGAGGGGGAUGGAAUUCCGCGUGUAGCAGUGAAAUGCGUAGAUAUGCAGAGGAACACCGAUGGCGAAGGCAAUCCCCUGGACCUGUACUGACGCUCAUGCACGAAAGCGUGGGGAGCAAACAGGAUUAGAUACCCGUGUAGUCCCUGUCUCUUAUAC
rnacentral:rRNA from 1 species